AGGAGGAAAAGUUUUUUUGUCUGUUUCCUCUAUAGGUGCCAAAUCAUUUCAUCUGGCUGAUCUUUUUUUAUUGGUAUUUUCACUCCUGCCUCAAUUGCCUUGCAGAACUGCUAUGAUUUGGAGACUGGCAAUUUUACUUUGAUUGGUGGAAUGCGGAUUCACUCUUACAGUUCUGGUCCAGAUGGAAUAUCCCAGCCCACAAAUGGCUAGACAGACACAUCUACAGGCCUUUGCUGCAACAUGGCUAUGACAAGUGGCAAGCCCGAAUGACUAUGUUCCUACUCUCUGCAUGUUUCUAUAAGGUCCCACUGGCUUGCAUAAUGAAAAGGCUUUUUGGGGGUAGUUUUGGCAACAUCCUCAUGUGGAUCAGUCUUGUCCUCGGUCCUCCCCUCACGAUUCUCUUGUACUUUCAUGACUUACAUUCUGCACCAUUGGAAGGAUUCAAGCUGGGGGAUGUUUUUUUUCUGACCUUCCCAUGUCUUCAUUGCCUUGCAUUCUUUGCCUUGCUUUGUCAACAGCAGAAAUACCAAUAUUUGGCUCAUGGUAUAAUCACAGAUUGAAGCCACCCUCAUCUUCAAUAUGAAAGGAAUGGCUUCAGCUUGCUAAGCCCCAGCUGGCCACUAGGCUGAAGAUAAAGCCUUGUGUGAAGGUUUCCCUCCAUAUUGCAGGUGAGUGAUCACAGACCAAAGCUGUGGAACCCACAUGUAUUUAGGCCUUUUGGCCAGUCUCUGUCUCUGUGCAAGGUCUCUGGGUAACUAAGUAACAGCUCUUUUCAUUGGAAAAUUCUGCUGACUAUAAAUAUAAUAACUAUAAUAGAUUCUCUUUCUUCCUUUUAAAAUACUGCUGUUUAUUAAAACAUCUU